ACAAUUAUUGAACUGUUAUUUACAUUUUGCAUUUAAUUUAAUUUGAUUUAUUUUUGUUUUUAAAGUAUUUGUUUCAUUUUUGCUUUCUAUCUCAAGUGUUUUGAUUUGAUUAUUUACUCAAAUGUUUAUUUUGUUUUUUCAUCAGUAUUUUUUCAGAUGAUCAGUUAUUUGAUUAUGUUUAUCGUGUGUGUGUGUAUAGGUUGGUGGAGGCGUGUGUGUGUGACUCGUCUCUGAAGGACGGUGUGUGUUCAUCUCAGGAGACGCUGGAGUCUGUGGUGUGUUUCUGCUGCACUGCUGCGACGCGGCCUGCAUCCCAGCAGUGACUGGUGUGUGCGAGCGCGUCUCGUCUCCUCAGGUGCUGCAGCUCUUCCUCUCUGCUCUUUCGUGUCAGUUUUCUCUGUGUCCUGAUCACAUGACCUCCUUCUCCAGGAAGCUCGGUAAGACCUGACCCACGGCUCAGAGGUCAAAGGUCACGGCCAGGUCAUGUUCUCCUUAUGUUGAAUGAUGUUGGUCUUCAUGUGUGAUUGGUUCAGUUUAGAUGCAUGUGUGUGUGUGUUUCUGUGUGUGUGUGUGUGUGUGUGUGUAUCAGCCGCUUCUGGAUUCAUCAGACUGACUCUGGAGAGUAAAGCUCAGCUGUGUUCAGGGAACAGGAACUCGUCUCUGAAUCAGAUCUGCUGUGAUUUCCUGCUGAAGCUCAGCAUGAGUCUGAUCUCACAGGAACACACCUGCACCAGUGAGCUGCAAGAUGUGGAGCGUGUCCUGCAGGAGUCUCUGCCGUCUCUGAGCUGCUGCGCGUCUGAUUGGCUGUCUGUGCUUUCUGAUUUCCCACAAUCCCUCAGAAACACUCAGCACUGCCUGAUCUACCUACUGCACCAGUCUGUGCUGCACGGGGACAGGUCUGUGUGUGUGUGUGUGUGUGUGUGCGUGUGUCUGUGUGCGUGUGUGUGUCUGUGUGUGUGUGUGUGUGUUUGCUCUUGUUUUUGAGUCAUAUCAGGACACAACUGUGUAUAAUGACAUGGGUAUGACACAGGUAUUACAAGGAGAGGGUGACUUAUGAGGACAUAACCCAUGUCCCCAUUUUUCAAAACACUUAUAAAUCAUACAGAAUGAGUUUUUUUGAGAAAGUAAAAAUGCACAAAGUUUCCUGUGAGGGUUAGGUUUAGGGGUAGGGUUGGUGAAUGGCGAUACAAUAUACAGUUUGUACAGUAUAAAAACCAUUACGCCUAUGGGAUGAACACACUUUUCACAAAAACAAACAUGUGUGUGUGUGAUGUUGUCACUUACUGACGGAGAUCCUCAUGGUGGUCAUGUGACCGCAGGUUUCUGAGCGACUCGGCCGUGUUCUCCGCUCUGCUGCGGUUCGUCUCGUGUGUUCAGGAUCUCCCUGCGUCUGUGCUGAGUUCAGUGCUCUAUCUGCUGUCCGUCACUCAACACGCCGGGCCUCGUCUGGACACGGUCUGCCACUGCUCUGACCUCACUUCCUGUCACCUCAAGGGUUAUUAUAGCAACAGUUAGAUUCAUUUAAAUCCAGGAGGGUGUCAGCGAGAGGUCGAGUGUGAUGAUGCUGAUGAAAUGUGUGUUUGUGCAGGUGUGUGUGAGCGUCCUCUCUCGUGCUCUGUCCUCCUGUCCGCUGCUCUUCUCUCGCUCUCUUCCUCUCUCCGUCCUGAGCUUCAUCUUCCUGUAUCCCGAGCUCUCGGAGCGCUUCGGAGCGCCGGCUCUGACGGGACGUCUGUCAGAGGAGACUCAGGAGCAGGAGCUGCUGGAGCUGAUCAACACACACCCUGCAGCGCUGCUGGCCACACUGGUGACUCACACACACACACACACAUCACAGUUAUAAAGGCAGAAGCUGACGUGAAAAACAUGGACAUGACAACCCUUACGAAAAAAAACGUUUAUUCAAGUGUGCUAUUAGUGUACUUCUUUUAAACUAAAAAUAGGAAAGUAUGCUUUUAGUUUAAAUUUACUUAAAAUGACAUUGAAGUAUACAUACAAAAAGUCUAAAUAUAUUUGAGCUAUACUCCUAGAAUCUGUGUUUUCAUUAUUAUACAGUAGAGGGCGCUAGUACACAUCUUCUGUACAUAAUUAACAAAAAACACACAAGUGAAGAAGAAUAAACUAACACAUGUAAUCUAACACAAUCAUCUGACAUGAAACAGCAUCAAAACUGUAACGUUUUGGAAUAAAAUGACGGAUGAAGAGGUAAUAAUUACAGUCAAGCUUUUACUAAACUAGUAGUUUGCUGAGACUAUACUUCAGAGUAUACAAAGUCUUUAAUUAGUAAACUAUGAGUAUACCUAUAAGUUCACUUUUAGUAUAAUUGAAGUACAAGCCACAAACAUUACAACAGUAAACUAGUUGUGUACUCAAAGUUUGCUACUGUUAUACUUAAAGUAUACUUGUAUAUACUAGAAAGUGGGCCAUUUUAGUCCCAAGGAGUAUUGAAACAGCACACUUACAAGUAUACUACUAGAACACUGAUAUUUGUAUACUUGCUACAUAAUAAACUUGAGGUAAACUACUUUCUGGUAAGG
rnacentral:lncRNA from 1 species